AACGAACGCUGGCGGCAUGCCUAACACAUGCAAGUCGAACGAGACCUUCGGGUCUAGUGGCGCACGGGUGCGUAACGCGUGGGAACCUGCCCUUAGGUUCGGAAUAACUCCCCGAAAGGGGUGCUAAUACCGGAUAAUAUCUUCGGACCAAAGAUUUAUCGCCUUUGGGUGGGCCCGCGUUGGAUUCGCUAGUUGGUAGGGUAAAAGCCUACCAAGGCGACGAUCCAUAGCUGGUCUGAGAGGAUGAUCAGCCACACUGGGGAUGAGACACGGCCCAGACUCCUACGGGAGGGAGCAGUGGGGAAUAUUGGACAAUGGGCGAAAGCCUGAUCCAGCAAUGCCGCGUGAGUGAUGAAGGGCUUAGGGUUGUAAAGCUCUUUGACCCGGGAUGAUAAUGACAGUACCGGGAGAAUAAGCUCCGGCUAACUCCGUG
rnacentral:rRNA from 1 species